rnacentral:rRNA from 1 species
UACGUAGGGGGCGAGCGUUAUCCGGAUUUACUGGGCGUAAAGCGCGUUAAGGCGGUCGGCAAAGUUGGUUGUGAAAUUUCGGGGCUCAACCCCGAAACUGCGUCCAAUACUGGUCGGCUUGAGUGUGAGAGAGGAAGGUGGAAUUCCCGGUGUAGUAGUGAAAUGCGUAGAUAUCGGGAGGAACACCAGUGGCGAAGGCGGCCUUCUGGCUCAUAACUGACGCUGUAGCGCGAAAGCGUGGGGAGCGAACGGG